AAUUGAGCGCUGAUGAGAAGAGUACGUAGAAAAUGAAAAGUACAGAGAGCCCUGAAUCGCUGAGAAAGGGUGUUUUCAUUUCUACCGAAGCAAGCCUCUGAGCUUCACAUGGGAACCUUUUCGUAAGGGGAUAGUGUGACAGGAGCUCCUGUUAUUGAGCUAGGGUAUCGUUGUACCUAAUGAGGCUUUCUAUGGCAACAUAGAAGGCGAACUGGGGUGGCACCGCGAAAACAUCUCGCCCCCAAG
rnacentral:ncRNA from 1 species